rnacentral:lncRNA from 1 species
GUUAGCCAGCAUGAAUGAAUAGACAGCCUUUUUACAACAUGGCCAAUUUUGCGGCUGUGGUAACUAGUGGAAAUCAUGAAUUGUCGUGGACUAUAUGCACAACUAAAGGACAUUGUUCCAAUCACAGGUCUAUGUCCCCAUGCGGGACCUUAUGGUGUCCAGGACACGCUCCGAAGCAGGUGAGUGUCAGCCACAACACAUAUUCAGGGACACCUUUUUACUGAUGCCAAUUUAAAAAGUAUCGGCCAAAGCCCAUUUACUGACACCCAGUGAUAAGCACGAUAUGUCUUGUGUUGCUGUACCCACAGGUUUUCCAGCGUGAGGAAUGAGCAGCUCCCCAGAAAAACAUGAGACUUGCUGGUUUAAAGUGGGCUGGUGCCCUACCCACACUGGCCCUACCUGCUCACAAACACACACAGUGCCUUCAGAAAGUAUUCACA